rnacentral:rRNA from 1 species
AUUGAACGCUGGCGGCAGGCCUAACACAUGCAAGUCGAACGAGUGGCGGACGGGUGAGUAAUGUCUGGGGAACUGCCCGAUGGAGGGGGAUAACUACUGGAAACGGUGGCUAAUACCGCAUACUAUCGGAUGAACCCAUAUGGGAUUAGCUAGUAGGUGGGGUAAAGGCUCACCUAGGCGACGAUCUCUAGCUGGUCUGAGAGGAUGACCAGCCACACUGGAACUGAGACACGGCCCAGACUCCUACGGGAGGCAGCAGUGGGGAAUAUUGCACAAUGGGCGCAAGCCUGAUGCAGCCAUGCCGCGUGUAUGAAGAAGGCCUUCGGGUUGUAAAGUACUUUCAGCGGGGAGGCGUUACCCGCAGAAGAAGCACCGGCUAACUCCGUGCCAGCAGCCGCGGUAAUAC